rnacentral:rRNA from 1 species
AGCGAACGCUGGCGGCAGGCCUAACACAUGCAAGUCGAACGAAGUCUUCGGACUUAGUGGCGGACGGGUGAGUAACACGUGGGAACGUGCCUUUAGGUUCGGAAUAACUCAGGGAAACUUGUGCUAAUACCGAAUGAGCCCUUCGGGGGAAAGAUUUAUCGCCUUUAGAGCGGCCCGCGUCUGAUUAGCUAGUUGGUGAGGUAAAGGCUCACCAAGGCUACGAUCAGUAGCUGGUCUGAGAGGAUGACCAGCCACAUUGGGACUGAGACACGGCCCAAACUCCUACGGGAGGCAGCAGUGGGGAAUCUUGCGCAAUGGACGAAAGCCUGACGCAGCCAUGCCGCGUGGAUGAUGAAGGUCUUAGGAUUGUAAAAUUCUUUCACCGGGGACGAUAAUGACGGUACCCGGAGAAGAAGCCCCGGCUAACUUCGUGCCAGCCGCCGCCGUAAUAC